CUUUAGGUUUCCAAAACCUGAUGGAGGAAUUUGGUCACGUCUUCAUCUAUUGCAAGUGACAUUUGGGCUGCCCCAUCUGCAAAACACCUGAUGACGUCAUGAGCUGCUCUGGGAAACAUCUGGUCUUGAGAGUUUAUGUGACAGUUCUUCACUUUUCUGCCUGAAUCCUCCUGAUAAUAUUUAUGGGAAUCUUUCAGCCACUGUUUUGAACACGUGCAGAGGGAAUGGUUGUAAAUGAACAUCCAAGUUCUGCAAUGCAAACUGAAAAGCCAACUCAUCAAAUUCACAAUGUAAGAAAAUAUCCAGCCAACGUUACUGUCACUUCAAAUGGACUUUCAUCUAAAAAAAAUUACAUUUUCUUCUAAGCUAAAAACUUAUAUCUUCUUGUUACUAUCACAUUUUUAAUUUUCCUAUAAAGGUGAAGCUGAAAGAAGGAAAAACCCUUUUAAACUCUGAAUUUUUCUUUUUGAGUUACUUUUUUUCCCAUUGAAAACUUCAAAAAUUCAGAAGAGGCUGAAUACAUUAGGAAAAAAAUAGAAUUUAAAUUUGUUUUUCAGUCAUUUACAUUUUUUCAUCCAAUCUGUAUAAAUUGUUGAAGCCAAUGCUGUUGGUUCUUGCUCUUGUAUUUACUGGGCAGAGAACAGAGGAAUGGAAAGAUUGGUUUUACUGAACCUUCCAGUUUGGAACAUGGUCCUUGCAUAAAAAUGAAGAAUUCAUUGACAAUUUUACCAUCUAAAGUUAUCUUACUAAAAUCAAAUUCCUCCCUCAACCCCAAUUUUAGUUUUCUGCUUAAUCUGUGAGUUUAAUUUACAGCCUUGUGAUCUUGUUUUAUUUGAUUUCUUUUUCUCAACCUUGAGCUGGAGACUUUUGCUAAGUGAGGAAUGGAAAAGAUUCAGACAAAGGGACCUUCCUGUGACUCAAAAUAUGAAAUACCACCGCACUUCCUGUGUUAAAGAGAAUGUUUUCUUACAAAACCAUCGUGUGCAUUAUUAAAAGAGGAUCCACCGUCCUGGGCUAGGGAGAUACAGAAAUUUCCUGUCAGUUAUGGCAGUGCAGAGUAACCCAAAUGAAAAAUAAACCUUCUGAGAGCAUAAUUCAUCCUGGAUUCCGGGCUGCAGAACAAUAGAAAUUUAAUUACUUGCAUUUCACAGGCUGAGCAGAGGGAAUCCAGAAAAAUUAUGGCUCAAGGAUGUGGUUUGUCUCUUAAAAAAAUCACCUUUUUUAUGUGCAGUGUCUACAGCCGCGCUGUCGAGUCCAAAUGACUUUUCCUUCUCUGUUAGGCAGUGCUGCCCACCCAAAUUGUUUUUGUUUUAAGGAAGUUCCAGCUGUACCACAAACACUUUCCCUCUCCUUUUAGACUCCUUUCCAUCUCUUAAGGACUCAUUAUACAUAUGUGUUAAUUAAGCUAAUGGAAGUGGCUGGUGAAGGCAUCUUCCCUCUCUCAGGCACCCAGCAGCUCUGCAAAAUGAACAAUUCCUUGUUUGAAGGGGAGAGGAACCGAAGGGCACAGGGAUUUUAUGGCAAAGGCUUUUAAAUAGCUUUAUUAUAAAUACAGUUAGCUCCUGCAGAACACAUUUAAUCCAACUUGCACACAA